rnacentral:rRNA from 1 species
AGUGAACGCUGGCGGUAGGCCUAACACAUGCAAGUCGAACGGCAGCACAGUAAGAGCUUGCUCUUACGGGUGGCGAGUGGCGGACGGGUGAGGAAUACAUCGGAAUCUACUUUUUCGUGGGGGAUAACGUAGGGAAACUUACGCUAAUACCGCAUACGACCUACGGGUGAAAGCAUGUGAUCUUCGGACCUUGCGCGAUUGAAUGAGCCGAUGUCGGAUUAGGUAGUAGGAGGGGUAAAGGCCCACCUAAGGGACGAUCCGUAGCUGGCAUGAGGGAAAUAUCAGUCACACUCGAGCAGAGACACAAUCCAAACUCCUGCGGGAGGCAGCAGUGUGGAAUAUUGGACAACAGGCGCAAGCCUGAUCCAAGCAGACCGCGUGGUUGAAGAAGGCCUGCGGGUUGUAAAGCCAUGUUGUUGGGAUAGAAAAGCAGCAUGUUAAUAAGCCGCUGUUCUGACGGUACCCAAAGAAGAAGCACCGGCUAACUUCGUG